GAUGAACGCUAGCUACAGGCUUAACACAUGCAAGUCGCAGGGUAACAUGAGGAAAGCUUGCUUUCCUUGAUGACGACUGGCGCACGGGUGAGUAACGCGUAUCCAACCUUCCCAUAAGUACGGGAUAACCCGUUGAAAGACGGCCUAAUACCGUAUGACAUCGUUUGCUGACAUCAAAUAACGAUUAAAGGUUUAGCGGUUAUGGAUGGGGAUGCGUCUGAUUAGCUUGUUGGCGGGGUAACGGCCCACCAAGGCGACGAUCAGUAGGGGUUCUGAGAGGAAGGUCCCCCACAUUGGAACUGAGACACGGUCCAAACUCCUACGGGAGGCAGCAGUGAGGAAUAUUGGUCAAUGGGCGAGAGCCUGAACCAGCCAAGUAGCGUGCAGGAUGACGGCCCUAUGGGUUGUAAACUGCUUUUAUGUGGGGAUAAAGUGCGUGACGUGUCAUGCAUUGCAGGUACCACAUGAAUAAGGACCGGCUAAUUCCGUG
rnacentral:rRNA from 1 species